AUUGAGAGAGGAGGGAGGGAGGCAUGAGAGAUCACUAGCAAUUGAUUAUUUUUGUCUUUUUACUAGGAGAAUGGGUUUCUAACACUUGAAUAGAGGAGCUUUUCUGCCCUGACGAAUGGGUUAGGGGGUCCCCGGAGGCGUCGGCUCCUUGACUUUCAGCCACCUUCCCACUCCUCAUCUGUCUCAGGAACCUGUUUUCGGUUCUAUGUCCUGGAAGACUGCUCAUGCUCACUAAUGUAACAUUGCCACCAUGAAGCCUCAGUAUCAUCAGCAGGCGUGUCCAUGGCCCAGGAGGCAAACCCAGACCUUCACCAACACUCCAGCAGGUGUCCGCUUAUGCAGUCGUGUCUAGGGCUGUCCGCAGGGGUGUCAUUGAAGUCCUUCAAUAUGAGACUGAAAACAACUGUAACGAUAACAAAUCUAACAAAUGACACAGGUUAUUGAAAACACCCAACAUUCCAAUGGCGCUUUGGGCAGCAGUACCAGUGAGGUUGGAGACUUGAGAACUGAUUGGAAGUCGUUCCCCUCUGACGAGGAUCACAUUAAGCGUUAUAGAUGAGACUGUGAAAGCUCAUUGACCAUGUGAU
rnacentral:lncRNA from 1 species